rnacentral:misc_RNA from 1 species
GGAAUAUUGCACAAUGGGCGCAAGCCUGAUGCAGCCAUGCCGCGUGUAUGAAGAAGGCCCUCGGGUUGUAAAGUACUUUCAGCGGGGAGGAAGGCGGUGAGGUUAAUAACCUCAUCGAUUGACGUUACCCGCAGAAGAAGCACCGGCUAACUCCGUGCCAGCAGCCGCGGUAAUACGGAGGGUGCAAGCGUUAAUCGGAAUUACUGGGCGUAAAGCGCACGCAGGCGGUCUGUCAAGUCGGAUGUGAAAUCCCCGGGCUCAACCUGGGAACUGCAUUCGAAACUGGCAGGCUAGAGUCUUGUAGAGGGGGGUAGAAUUCCAGGUGUAGCGGUGAAAUGCGUAGAGAUCUGGAGGAAUACCGGUGGCGAAGGCGGCCCCCUGGACAAAGACUGACGCUCAGGUGCGAAAGCGUGGGGAGCAAACAGGA